rnacentral:rRNA from 1 species
AUACGGAGGAUGCAAGCGUUAUCCGGAUUUAUUGGGUUUAAAGGGUGCGUAGGCGGAUGAUUAAGCGUGAGGUGAAAUGCCACUGCUCAACAGUGGAACUGCCUCGCGAACUGGUUGUCUUGAAUGCUCCUGCCGUGGGAGGAAUGUGUGGUGUAGCGGUGACAUGCAUAGAGAUCACACAGAACACCGAUUGCGAAGGCAUCUCACGAAGGGGUGAUUGACGCUGAGGCACGAAAGCGUGGGGAUCAAACAGGAUUAGAUACCCUGGUAGUCCACGCAGUAAACGAUGAUAACUAACCGCUGGGUCGUAGUGAUUCAGUGGCCAAGCGAAAGCGAUAAGUUAUCCACCUGGGGAGUACGACCGCAAGGUUGAAACUCAAAGGAAUUGACGGGG